AAAGUCGUAACAAGGUUUCCGUAGGUGAACCUGCGGAAGGAUCAUUAAGAAAAACAGUGUCCUGACUUGCAUGAAAUAUGGCAAGGCUUGAUGCGUCAACCCUCUGUGAACCAAACCAACCUUCGCUUCGGUAGCAAGGCAGCAAAGGUGAAAACCUGACCUGUUCCGUGAGCCUACCGGUAGCACCAAACCAAAACUUGAUGUCAAACAUUGUCUGAAUCAAAUAUUUUCGAAUGAAAAUUAAAACUUUCAACAACGGAUCUCUUGGUUCUC
rnacentral:misc_RNA from 1 species